rnacentral:rRNA from 1 species
CCUACGGGAGGCAGCAGUGAGGAAUAUUGGUCAAUGGGCGAGAGCCUGAACCAGCCAAGUCGCGUGAAGGAUGAAGGAUCGAUGGUUUGUAAACUGCUUUUAUAGGGGAAUAAAGUGAGGAACGUGUGCCUUUUUGUAUGUACCAUAUGAAUAAGCAUCGGCUAACUCCGUGCCAGCAGCCGCGGUAAUACGGAGGAGGCGAGCGUUAUCCGGAUUUAUUGGGUUUAAAGGGUGCGUAGGUGGUUAAUUAAGUCAGCGGUGAAAGUUUGUGGCUCAACCAUAAACUUGCCGUUUAAACUGGUUGACUUGAGUAUAUUUGCGGUAGGCGGACUGCGUGGUGUAGC